UACGUAGGGUGCAAGCGUUAAUCGGAAUUACUGGGCGUAAAGCGUGCGCAGGCGGUUGUGCAAGACCGAUGUGAAAUCCCCGGGCUUAACCUGGGAAUGGCAUUGGUGACUGCACGGCUAGAGUGUGUCAGAGGGGGGUAGAAUUCCACGUGUAGCAGUGAAAUGCGUAGAUAUGCGGAGGAACACCAGUGGCGAAGGCGCCCAUCUGGCCUAAUACUGACGCUCAUGCACGAAAGCUAGGGGAGCAAACAGG
rnacentral:rRNA from 1 species